UUAGAUCCUGGAAUGAAUGAUUUUACAUUUAAAGGUUUUUAGUAUUUAUAAUUAUAAUUUAGAGUUUAAAUAAAAAUAUUUAAAUAUUUAAAAAAGACGAUAAGACCCUAAAAGCUUUAUUUCUUUAUAAUUAAAAUUUAUAUGAGAAAGUUUACUGGGGUAGUUAUUUAAUUAGUUUAAUAUUUUAAUUCUUUAUGUUUUAUAUUCCUUAAUAUUAGGAUUAGGUUAGUUACUUUAGGGAUAACAGCGUAAUAACAUUGAAAAGGCCAUAUUUAUAGUGUUGAUUACGACCUCGAUGUUGAAUUAAUUAUUCUUUUUAAAGCAGUUUUUAUAGAAGAGGGUUUGUUCAACCCUUAAU
rnacentral:rRNA from 1 species